rnacentral:tRNA from 1 species
AAUAAGAUGCCUGAAUAAAGGACUAUUUUGAUAGAAUAGAUCAUGUAUGUAUAUUAUACUCUUAUUA